rnacentral:tRNA from 1 species
AAGAAGGUGGCAGAGUGGUUUUGUAGGCGGCUUGAAACCGCUUUACGGGGGUUCAAUUCCCUCCCUUCUUG